CAGAGCCGAAGAGGCCCCUAGACUUCUGCGAGCCUCCUCCCGAGGGACCGCCCCGCCCACGCACCCACGUGACUCGCGCUGUGGGCGGGAGAGAAACAUGGGCUGGGGGCGUGGCCAAGUCCCGCCCCGCCCCACCCUGCGGCCUGCUCUACCUGGCGCUGCUCCAGCCCGCUAGGCGCUCUGGGCCUCUCGGCGGCUUGGGUACCGUAGCUGUUUCUGCAGACGCUGCGCGCUCCGCUCCAUCUUCCCAGUAGCCUCGGCCCGGCUGAACCACUUAAAUUUACUGCCUGAGCCCCACAAUCGACCUCGGUCCUUAAAUGUAUGCAUUCCGACUACGUAAACGUGCCUCCUGAGCCGUCAGAGUGGCGCUCGUUGUCCUUUCUUCGAAGGUGAGCGAACUUGAGAUUCAGGACUGAGAAAGGAGAUCCCAAGUCAGACACGACCUCCUGUUGCUUCUCUGUCCGCUCUCUUAUUGCCGGGGUUCAGGGUCAAAACACUGACCACUCCAAACCCACAGCCCAGUUAAGUCAGCAUCCCUGCCUCACCUAAGGACACCACUUCUGCCGAUCACCUUCAAGGCAGCUCCAGGAACUAGACACAUCUGGCAGAGAGAGAGGUGGGGAACCUUCCCAGCAGUACUUUCUUGUGCCUGUUACAAACGAAAGGACUGGGCAAGCCAGAAUUCCAUGGCCUGCUUCUCCACCUAAUUGUUAUCUUGGGCAAGUCAUUUGACUUCUCUCUGCUGGAUUCCAGAGAUGACUUGUAACCUGGACGAGUGCAAGUAACUACCUAACAGAGAUGUCGCACAGAUUAAUGCUACGGUAGGUCAGGUGUUCAGAAUAGGGCUUGGCAUCUAAAUUAAUGAAAGAAAUCACUCAGGACUGGUCACUGUUCUAUGUUGCCUUCUUAACGCGCUUCCGGAUGCCUGCCAGUACCUGCUAAAUCCAGACUAGGCUUUCGGGGUCUGAAGCCAAGGUACCACGCACGGGGUUGUGGGAUGAUGGAGGGACAAACAGGGUCGCUAUACUGACUAAUGCAAACACAGAUUAUGACUAGUGACACUUGAAAUCUUGUGGGAUUGAACCCAGAUCUUGUGUCUACUACUACUACAGCAACCUCCACCACUGAGCUACAUCCCCAUUCUCACAGAUUAUUUUGAGACAACCUCUCACUCAGUUGGCCACUUAAUGUAGCCCAGACAGGCCUUAAACUUGUGACCCUCCUGAACUGCUGAGAUUACGGACUUGAACUCCCAGAGCCAGCACCAACAAAUCUCUAAGUAGAAGGAAUAUCCUGCACGAUGUGAACCAACUGUGGUACCCAGGACAGAGGGGACCCUUCUGAAAAAUUGUGAAGGUUGCGCACAGACCCUCUCAGGGGCUGCAGUUGGAGAAGAGGCUGGACCCUAGAAGGCAG
rnacentral:lncRNA from 1 species